UGUAACUGGUGUAACUGGUGUAACUGGUGUAUUUGGAGCCUCCUGUCGUCAUGAAAUUCCCUUUAUGUUUUUGAACAUGAUUCAUGGAGAACGCUGAGUUGUUAAUCAAUGCUUAAGUCACUAACCUACAGUCAACAAUGUCACCAAAUGUUUCCCCAAAAUAUUAUUUCUCUUAUCGACUCGAAACCAUUGAGAUGAUCUUUUUUUUAAACAGGCGAGCAGAUCCAACGUAUGUCAUCAGUGAGCUGGUGAAAAGAUACCAGGACAAGAACAUCAAGCUGAAUUUCAUAUACGACACCGUGUGUGUGCCGUCCUCACAUAUAGAUGUGAGUAUUUUCUUUUACUAUAUGACACAAGAACAACGUUUCCUGUUUAUAAAACACUGUUUGGUGUUUAUCAGACAAAUGGAGGAGGAACACCUCGAGGUAUUUCCCUGGCUGUCCAUGUUUAUGGACAUAAACUGCAGUGCCAGCUAUGAUUUAUUGGUCAAUGUACACAAACUGGCACACAUGUCAUCCUAAGCACAUGCACACACUAUUCAGUCCAUACUUUGAUAAACUCUUGUACAGUAAACAGUAAAUAUGUGUUAAUCAGAAAUCUUUUAGAGCACACGACGGCUUCCUGGGUUUGGGCUGAACGAUGGAGAAGGCAUGGAGAGGUUCUGCUCCUUCCUCAGAAGAUCUGCAGGAGUCACAAAGAGAUGACUCUAUCAGAUCGACUGGAAAUUCUGAUUGAUGCAUUAUUGCAUUAUGGGAGGAGGAAGUCAUCGGAUCUAGUGACUAUUUCAGAACAAGACAUCCAACAGUGGAUGGAAAGAGAGACAGAAGCUGACAAACAUGCACUUUUGAAAACGAGACCCAAAGGCCAGAGAGUGCUCUUCAAACUACUGACAGACACGCCCACAUUACAAGCAGAUGGUGUGAGUCUGAUUUGAUUUUCCAGUCAACGCUGAGAGACUGCGAGCAAGAAAUGAAGCAAGGAAGAAGGAUCGCUCUACUCAAUCUCAAGCACUUUUUCAUUGUCACAGAGGGAAACAUUGUAUUUUCUGCGUCACUUCCUCACAGAAAAGAUAUUUGUACCCAUUCUGCAGGUAAACUGUUGAUGGGACAAUAAACAAAUUUCACUUUGCAAAAUGUUCUGCAGGGAGGUUGUGGUUGCUUCUUUCGACUACCAUGACCUGGAUGACUGAGAACCUACGCAGACACGUUCUCAGGGAAGGGCUCCACACUUAUUGUACUGAUUUAACUGAGCUUAUUGUCAUCAAGCAAAGUUUGCUUUAAUGUGUCUCUAUUGACAACACAAAGAAUUUUUGUCACUAGUUAUAAAAUGUAGAAAUCUUCAAAUAUAUCUGAAGUGCUUGGUGUAAAUUCAAUGAUUCAAGAUCCAGUUGGUUGUCAUCUUCACUGAAAAAUAAAUAUGAAUAAAAUAUUAUAAUAUAUAAUAAAUAAUAUCAUGUGAUGUUGACAUGUGUUGUUGGUAUUUUCUGUAAAUGUCUUUUUGAAUGUAAAUGCUUUGUUUGAGACAGACAGGGAGUCGCUAUAAAGCUGUCCAAGCAAAUCCACGUCUGUAACAGAGACUGAAGAAGAUUGUAACAGAGUCCAACAGUCUGCAGUGGCCACCACAGUCCACCGUCUUCACAUCACAAUUUCAACAUGUCUGUGAAGUCUCCUUGCCCUUGGGCUCAUGCCUCGAUGAACAAGUUUGUUUCAUUAACAUUUCUCAGACAGAAGAAGGUGAUAUUCCAACAGAGCUGAAAAGGAGAGCCGUCGAUUCCUUACAUUUGAAGAGCAGAGCAGCUGAAGAGAAGCUGUGACUCCAACGUGAGAUGGACCCUGUGAUUCAUCACCUCCACCAGCAACACACUGACCUGCAUUCAUCCAUAGAUGCCACUCAGGACCCUGGUUCCACAGCUGUUCUUGUUCACAGCUGCGUCCAGUUAGAGAGGAAACUGUAUAAUGCAAUGAUGAUGUUCCAGCGUCAUGUUAUUGCUCCUCCUCCACAUGCUUACCUGCCACAGUUUAACUCCGCCUCUCAGACAGUCAUGUCACCUGAUCUGCACGUUUUGCUGUACGAUGACGUCAUCUUGACGUUGACGAGGAGAAAAACUAGUUUUGUCCUGCAGAUGGCGAUCUUGCACCUUGUUCAGAGAG
ensembl:lncRNA